UACGGUAGGCAGCAAGCGUUGUUCGGAGUUACUGGGCGUAAAGGGUGUGUAGGCGGCCUGUUAAGUUCCGUGUGAAAUCUCCCGGCUCAACCGGGAGGGUGCGCGGAAAACUGGCGGGCUAGAGUACGGGAUGGGAGAGUAGAAUUCCUGGUGUAGCGGUGAAAUGCGUAGAUAUCAGGAGGAAUACCGGUGGUGUAGACGGCUCUCGUGGACCGUAACUGACGCUGAAGACACGAAAGCGUGGGUAGCAAACAGG
rnacentral:rRNA from 1 species